UCUGNUCUGUCACUGACGCUGAGGCUCGAAAGCGUGGGUAGCGAACAGGAUUAGAUACCCUGGUAGUCCACGCCGUAAACGAUGAGUGCUAGGUGUUAGGCCCUUUCCGGGGCUUAGUGCCGGAGCUAACGCAAUAAGCACUCCGCCUGGGGAGUACGACCGCAAGGUUGAAACUCAAAGGAAUUGACGGGGGCCCGCACAAGCGGUGGAGCAUGUGGUUUAAUUCGAAGCAACGCGAAGAACCUUACCAGGUCUUGACAUCCCGAUGCUAUUCUUAGAGAUAGGAAGUUACUUCGGUACAUCGGAGACAGGUGGUGCAUGGUUGUCGUCAGCUCGUGUCGUGAGAUGUUGGGUUAAGUCCCGCAACGAGCGCAACCCUUAUUGUUAGUUGCCAUCAUUAAGUUGGGCACUCUAGCGAGACUGCCGGUAAUAAACCGGAGGAAGGUGGGGAUGACGUCAAAUCAUCAUGCCCCUUAUGACCUGGGCUACACACGUGCUACAAUGGUCGGUACAACGAGUUGCGAGCCGGUGACGGCAAGCUAAUCUCUGAAAGCCGAUCUCAGUUCGGAUUGGAGGCUGCAACUCGCCUCCAUGAAGUCGGAAUCGCUAGUAAUCGCGGAUCAGCACGCCGCGGUGAAUACGUUCCCGGGCCUUGUACACACCGCCCGUCACACCACGAGAGUUUGUAACACCCGAAGUCGGUGAGGUAACCUUUUAGGGG
rnacentral:rRNA from 1 species